AGGGGUAGUUGUUCACUUAGUUUACAAAAACGAUAAGCACCACUUCUUCGCAAGUAUUGAAGCAAGCACUGAUUUGGAGGUUAUGACUGUUGAGAUCUCAUUGAGCAUGUUUGCUGGCUGUGAGAGUUGAAAUGUUGAAAUGUUGGCCUUGCUGCACCUUGUUGUUGGUUCCUCUGUUGUUAAGUGUGGGUUGGCUUGACCCCCCCAUGGAUGGUGUACACAGAAUAAUCUGAGGUGCACCAAGAGUUUGGCCACCAAGUGCCUGCAUGGCUAGAAA